rnacentral:miRNA from 1 species
GGUCAGCUGACACAUCCCUGCCAAUCUCCAGCAGACCCUCCCUCCCAGACCCUCCCACCUCCUGGACAGCAUCCAUGUUGAAGCUGCCUUCAACAUGGAUGCUGUCCAGGAAGUAGGAGGGUCUGGGAGGGAGGGUCUGCCGGAGAUUGGCAGGGAUGCGUCAGCUG